GAUGAACGCUGGCGGCGUGCCUAAUACAUGCAAGUCGAGCGAACAGACGAGGAGCUUGCUCCUCUGACGUUAGCGGCGGACGGGUGAGUAACACGUGGAUAACCUACCUAUAAUACUGGUAUAACUUCGGGAAACCGGAGCUAAUACCGGAUAAUAUAUUGAACCGCAUGGUUCAAUAGUGAAAGACGGUUUUGCUGUCUCUUAUAGAUGGAUCCGCGCCGCAUUAGCUAGUUGGUAAGGUAACGGCUUACCAAGGCAACGAUGCGUAGCCGACCUGAGAGGGUGAUCGGCCACACGGGAAGUGAGACAGGGACCAGACUCCUACGGGAGGCAGCAGUAGGGAAUCUUCGGCAAUGGGCGAAAACCUGACGGAGCAACGCCGCGUGAGUGAUGAAGGUCUUCGGAUCGUAAAACUCUGUUAUUAGGGAAGAACAAAUGUGUAAGUAAAUAUGCACGUAUUGACGGUAACUAAUCAGAAAGCCACGGCUAACUACGUG
rnacentral:rRNA from 1 species